UGCCUUUGUGUUGCCCUCUCACUGUAUCCUUCAUGAACAGGGUGUCAACUAAGGCAUACAGUAACUCUUGUGGCUGUGAGAGAAAUUCAUCAUCACUGAUUAAUUUCUACACAAUUAGCUGCGAGCACAACA
rnacentral:snoRNA from 1 species